CGCCUCUUGUUAGUUUUUGAGGUAUGGCCUGCCCGCUGAUUUUGUUGGUUGAAGGGCCGCGGUAUUUUGACCGUGCAAAGGUAGCAUAAUCAUUAGUUCUUUAAUUGUGAUCUGGUAUGAAUGGCUCGACGAGGUGCAGCCUGUCUUAGGGUUAUUUGGGAUUUGUUGUUGAUUUUGGUUUUUGAGUUAAAAUUCUUAAAUGUUUUUAUGGGACGAGAAGACCCUAUAGAGUUUGACAUACGCUUGUUGUUUUGUGGUUGGUUUGGGUUUUCAUAAUUUACUUUUUGGUGUGUUUUGUUGGGGUGAUGGGAAGGCUUUUUUUAACCCUUCCUUGUUGGUUUAAUAUUUAUUAGUAGUUGUUUGAUCCUCUUUUUGUGAUUGUAAGAUUAAAUUACC
rnacentral:rRNA from 1 species